rnacentral:pre_miRNA from 1 species
UUUGUACUCCCUCCGUCCCAAAAUUCUUGUCUUAAAUUUGUCUAAAUACGGAUGUAUCUAGUUACAUUUUAGUGUUAGAUACAUCCGUAUCUAAACAAAUGUAAGACAAGAAUUUUGGGACGAAGGGAAUACUAC